UACAGCCAUAUCACACUGAAACACUGGUUCCCAUAAAUCACUAAAGUUAAGUAUUGUCAAGCCUGGUCAGUACCUAGAUGGGUGACUCUUUGGGAAUAUCAGGUGCUGUAA